rnacentral:rRNA from 1 species
CGAACGUAGGCGGAUUGUUUAGGGAGGGGUGAAAUCCCAGGGCUCAACCCGGGAACUGCCUCUCAUACUGGCAAUCUUGAGUUCGAGAGAGGUGAGUGGAAUUCCGAGUGUAGAGGUGAAAUUCGUAGAUAUUCGGAGGAACACCAGUGGCGAAGGCGGCUCACUGGCUCGAUACUGACGCUGAGGUGCGAAAGCGUGGGGAGCAAACAG